UGUGUAUAUAUAAUGACAGUUCCGCCACCACUCUCACUCUCACUCACUACCUCAGCUCAAAACUCCACUGAAUCUCCACUCUUCUCCGAAUCAAACGAGCUGCUCACGCGGAGCUGGCUACUCCGGCGCCGAUGAGGAUUACCCGCAUUUUAAAAACGUUAUCAGGUUAAGAGAAACUAUACACAGCCUCAAGGGGAAGCAGAGCUCCAUGAUGCCUCUAUCAGAUGUUGUGACUAUCCAUCAACCCAAGGAAGAGAAACUAUACAGAGCCUCCAGAUGUAGAUAGAGGUUGCAGUGUUCUGAACAGUUUUCUCAGGUGUAGCAUAAGCAAUGCUGUGUAUAGAGCAUGUACAAUUUUUAGCCACCACUUGUACUAGAUUUACUGUGUUUAGGCCAAAUCCUUUGUCUUAAUACUGUUGUAAAACUACCUCUGCGAUCUAUUCAACACGACCAAUUCCCCUAAA